GAUGAAGAACGCAGCGAAAUGCGAUAAGUAGUGUGAAUUGCAGAAUUCAGUGAAUCAUCGAAUCUUUGAACGCACAUUGCGCCCCUUGGUAUUCCAUGGGGCAUGCUUGUUCGAGCGUCAUUUGUACUCUCAAGCUUUGCUUGGUGUUGGGUGCUUGUCCUCUCCACUGCGGUUGGACUCACCUUAAAUUCAUUGGCAGCCGAUAUAUUGGUUUUGAAGCGCAGCACACGUAGCGAUUCAGGCUGGAUAUAUCAGCGUCCAGCAAGGCUAUUUAACACUUUUGACCUCGGAUCAAGUAGGGAUACCCGCUGAACUUAAGCAUAUCAAUAAAGCGGAGGA
rnacentral:misc_RNA from 1 species